rnacentral:rRNA from 1 species
CGGGGUGCAGCAGGCGCGAAAACUUUACAAUGCUGGAAACAGCGAUAAGGGGACCUCGAGUGCCAGGUUACAAAUCUGGCUGUCGUGAUGCCUAAAAAGCAUUGCAUAGCAAGGGCCGGGCAAGACCGGUGCCAGCCGCCGCGGUAACACCGGCGGCUCGAGUGGUAACCGUUAUUAUUGGGUCUAAAGGGUCUGUAGCCGGCCGGAUAAGUCUCUUGGGAAAUCCAGCAGCUCAACUGUCAGGCUUUCAGGAGAUACUGUCUGGCUCGAGGCCGGGAGAGGUGAGAGGUACUUCAGGGGUAGGGGUGAAAUCUUGUAAUCCUUGAAGGACCACCAGUGGCGAAGGCGUCUCACCAGAACGGACCUGACGGCAAGGGACGAAAGCUAGGGGCACGAACCGGAUUAGAUACCCGGGUAGUCCUAGCCGUAAACGAUACUCGCUAGGUGUCGGCCACGGUGCGACCGUUGUCGGUGCCGUAGGGAAGCCGUGAAGCGAGCCACCUGGGAAGUACGGCCGCAAGGCUGAAACUUAAAGGAAUUGGCGGGGGAGCACAAGGGCGAAUCGCG